rnacentral:rRNA from 1 species
GACGAACCACACAAACGUUAUUCGGAAUUACUGGGCGUAAAGGGUGCGUAGGCGGCUUUUUAAGUUUGGUGUGAAAUCUCCCGGCUCAACUGGGAGGGUGCGCCGAAUACUGAGAGGCUAGAGUGUGGGAGAGGAAAGUGGAAUUCCUGGUGUAGCGGUGAAAUGCGUAGAUAUCAGGAGGAACACCGGUGGUGUAAACGGCUUUCUGGACCAUAACUGACGCUGAGGCACGAAAGCGUGGGUAGCAAACAGG